ensembl:lncRNA
GUGGAGGGGGUGAGAGGGUCGGGGGAUAGGGGGUCAGGGCGUGUGGAGAGGGUGAGAGGGUCGGGGGAGUGGCGGGCGUCCUCCCUGCCCUCAGAGCUGGGCAUUAGGGUCUGGAUGAGAGAGGAGUGGGGUCCUGGGUUUCCUUUGCAGACUGACCUGAACAGGGAUAAAGAUGAAAAUGAAAACAGCCUCUGGUCUCCAGAGAGGCGAGGGCAGAGUGGAGCCUGUGAGGGGCAGGGAGGGAGCUGGAGGUCUUGUCAGGGGCCCCUUCCUUUCCGCCAGCCUGGAGAGGCCUGGUCUACAGAAUCUUCUGUGGUGUUGCUGCAUCCGUGGCGUCUGAGGACCCCAAGGGCUGCCCGGGGGCCACAGCAUCUCCUGUGACCUCUCCCUGACCCAGCAGAGGGAAGACCUGGGGCCAGCCCCUUCUAGAACAUUCCCUCCAGGGCAGUUGCAGGUGGAUUCUCAUCUCACAGGAGACAGCAGCGCUCAGGGCUCCCAGAAAGGCCGUGAUUACCAGCCGCGGAGCACAGCAGUGCCCUGGUCUGCAGGAGGCGGCUCAGCGCCCAGCGGGCCGGCCUGGUCCACCACCCCUGCUGUCACAAACCCUGGGUCCCUCAGCGCCCUGCCCUCAGCAAGUCACUCCGAGUUUAAGAGUAAUUAAGAGAAGUGUUUCCUUUUAUAACCAGCUCCCCUUCUCUCAGGAGCUGUGGUGAUUCUGGGAUGAAAGCAUCAUGAAAGCGCCUGGAGGUCACGCAGACAAAGCAGCAGGCAAGGCCCUCAGAGAAGGGCCACCUGGAGCAGAGCCGGAAGAGAAGGCGCCUUUAUCAGGUGGAAUGCAGGGGCAGGACAGAAGAAAGAGAAAACCCCGCCCCGGCCGGCUCCUGAGACUGGGAAUGAUGAGGUCCUGUGUCCAGGGCUCUGCAGAGCCCUUAUCAGUGUCCCUGUGACACUGACCAGGGAUGAGGACGGUGCUGAGAUGGAGGAAAGACAAAAAAAGCAUUUCUCCACGGCCUGUUGGAAUUUCACAGUCGAGAAGACAGUAGACGGCCUGGGGUCCAGAGGCCCGGUGAGGGCCGGGAAACGGACCUCUGUGCUCCCGGGAGGGCAGGCCAGGUCCUGUCCCUACACGUGGGCAGAGGCUCCAGCGACCGGACAGAAACAGAGGCUGUCCAGGCAGCUCCGCUCUGCAGUGAAAUCAGCGUCCUCAGUUCCGCUGCUUCCUGGAGGACGGAGGGAAAUGCUGCGGCCCAGCUUCCUGCGCACAGACUUGCUCUUUUCUUUCCUUUUUCUGUCAUAAUAAUAUGACUUCUUGGGAAAGCUCAUUUACAUUGACUUUGGGUUUUAUUCGUUUAUUCGGGCCUGUUUCGUUUAUUUAUCCACCAUCUUCCAGCAAGUGUUUAUUGACAGCCUCCUCUGAGCCCCGGGGAUGGAGGUUUGAGUGGGGAGACCGGUUCUCGCCCUCAGAGGGUGAAGUCUCCAGGAGACUCAGUGCACAAGUAAAUGAAGAACAAGGUGGAUGAAGGGGUCAAGCCUGCCGUAUGGGGGGUCACCGGGGAGUUGGGAUAAAGGGAAUCGAGGCCGUGUUAGACGGGGAGGGGAGGGCCGGCCUCCCUGGAGAGGUGACCUUUGAGCUGAGGGGACACCGAGAAGAUUCCAGCCAGGCACAGGCCGCCAGGAGAGCGUUCCAGACAAAGGGCACAGUUCGUGCAAAGGCCUGGAGGCAGGACUGGGCUGGACAAGCGCAGGGAACAGAGAAGAGGCUGCAGACUGUGGUGGUGACGCUGCGAGCAAACGCCUGCUUACUCGUUCAACAGCAAUACCGGAAAUGGCUGAAAACACACAGUUUGCCUUCUAACGCAAUUCUGGAAGCUGGCCCCUCUGAACUCCAACCCCCGGGCUGGGUUCAUUCGAAACCAUGACCCCCCCCCCAAGGUCGCUCAGUGA